GAAGGAAAUUAAGUACGGAAGUUCCUGAUUUCACGCUGUCAAGAAAAGCCUCUAGGAAGAGUAGUACUGCCCGUACCGCAAACCGACACAGGUAGAUGAGGAGAGAAUCCUAAGGUGAGCGAGAGAACUCUCGUUAAGGAACUCGGCAAAAUGACCCCGUAACUUCGGGAGAAGGGGUGCUCUAUUAGGGUGCAAGCCCGAGAGAGCCGCAGUGAAUAGGCCCAGGCGACUGUUUAGCAAAAACACAGGUCUCUGCAAAACCGUAAGGUGACGUAUAGGGGCUGACGCCUGCCCGGUGCUGGAAGGUUAAGAGGAGUGCUUAGCUUCGGCGAAGGUACGAAUUGAAGCCCCAGUAAACGGCGGCCGUAACUAUAACGGUCCUAAGGUAGCGAAAUUCCUUGUCGGGUAAGUUCCGACCCGCACGAAAGGCGCAACGAUCUGGGCACUGUCUCAACGAGAGACUCGGUGAAAUUAUAGUACCUGUGAAGAUGCAGGUUACCCGCGACAGGACGGAA
rnacentral:rRNA from 1 species